rnacentral:misc_RNA from 1 species
UUUCCGUAGGUGAACCUGCGGAAGGAUCAUUCAUAAUAAAGUGUUUUAUGGCACUUUUUAAAAAUCCAUAUCCACCUUGUGUGCAAUGUUAGAUCUCGUCAAUCUUGGCGAGAUUUUUAUACAUCAACUCAUUCUUUAACUAAUUUGUCUGAAAAAUAUUAUGAAUACUUAAUUCAAAAUACAACUUUCAACAACGGAUCUCUUGGAUCUC